AGACGUCUACAUUAGAUACCCCCGUAGUCCCAGCCGUAAACUAUGCGCGUUAGGUGUAUCGGUGACCACGAGUCACCGAGGUGCCGAAGGGAAACCGUGAAACGUGCCGCCUGGGAAGUACGGUCGCAAGGCUGAAACUUAAAGGAAUUGGCGGGGAGCACCACAACGGGUGGGGCCUGCAGUUUAAUUGGACUCAACGCCGGGAAGCUCACCGGAUAAGACAGCGGAAUGAUUGCCGGGCUGAAGACUCUGCAUGACUAGCUG
rnacentral:rRNA from 1 species